GCCGGGCGCAGUGGCGCUUGCCUGUAAUCCUAGCAGAUCGGGAGGCUGAGGUAGGAGGAUCUCAAGUUCAAAGCCAGCCUCAACAAAAGUGAGGCACUAAGCAACUCAGUGGGACCCUGUCUCUA
rnacentral:sRNA from 1 species